GACGUAGGGCGCGAGCGUUGUCCGGAUUUAUUGGGCGUAAAGAGCUCGUAGGCGGCUUGUCGCGUCGUCCGUGAAAAACCUGCAGCUCAACUGCAGGCUUGCGGUCGAUACGGGCAGGCUAGAGUUCGGUAGGGGAGACUGGAAUUCCUGGUGUAGCGGUGAAAUGCGCAGAUAUCAGGAGGAACACCGAUGGCGAAGGCAGGUCUCUGGGCAAUUAACUGA
rnacentral:rRNA from 1 species